rnacentral:rRNA from 1 species
CGGGGUGCACCAGGCGCGAAAACUUUGCAAUGCGGGAAACCGUGACAAGGGAACUCUGAGUGCCCGUUAAAUCGGGCUGUCCAUCGGUUUAAAUAACCGGUGAAGAAAGGGCCGGGCAAGACCGGUGCCAGCCGCCGCGGUAAUACCGGCGGCUCGAGUGGUGGCCACUAUUACUGGGCUUAAAGCGUUCGUAGCUGGUUUGUUAAGUCUCUGGGGAAAUCCUCCGGCUUAACCGGAAGGCGUCUCAGGGAUACUGGCAGACUUGGGACCGGGAGAGGUGAGAGGUACUCCAGGGGUAGGAGUGAAAUCCUGUAAUCCUUGGGGGACCACCUGUGGCGAAGGCGUCUCACCAGAACGGCUCCGACAGUGAGGGACGAAAGCUGGGGGAGCAAACCGGAUUAGAUACCCGGGUAGUCCCAGCUGUAAACGAUGCGCGUUAGGUGUAUCGGUGACCACGAGUCACCGAGGUGCCGAAGAGAAAUCGUGAAACGUGCCGCCUGGGAAGUACGGUCGCAAGGCUGAAACUUAAAGGAAUUGGCGGGGGAGCAAAGGGCGAUUCGCG